GCUGGAGAUCAGAAUGCACUGCAGGGGAGGAGGUUACACUUGGAUGAAACCUCUAAUACAACAAAUGGAUCAUUAAGUCUGAGAAAAGACAUCAGUCAGCCAUAGCACUCACCAGGACCAGCACAGGGGAGAAGAACAUCCAGCAGGAGCGGAAAUAGAUGUUGGGAGCCUUUCCCAACAUCCUCUUGAUCACGAUGGUCAUCCGCCCCAGUCC